rnacentral:rRNA from 1 species
AGCGAACGCUGGCGGCAGGCCUAACACAUGCAAGUCGAACGAACCUUUCGGGGUUAGUGGCGGACGGGUGAGUAACACGUGGGAACGUGCCUUUAGGUUCGGAAUAACUCAGGGAAACUUGUGCUAAUACCGAAUGUGCCCUUCGGGGGAAAGAUUUAUCGCCUUUAGAGCGGCCCGCGUCUGAUUAGCUAGUUGGUUGAGGUAAUGGCUCACCAAGGCGACGAUCAGUAGCUGGUCUGAGUGGAUGAUCAGCCACAUUGGGACUGAGACACGGCCCAAACUCCUACGGGAGGCAGCAGUGGGGAAUCUUGCGCAAUGGGCGAAAGCCUGACGCAGCCAUGCCGCGUGAAUGAUGAAGGUCUUAGGAUUGUAAAAUUCUUUCACCGGGGACGAUAAUGACGGUACCCGGAGAAGAAGCCCCGGCUAACUUCGUG